UAUGUCUUCACACGGUGGAAGGGGCGAGGAAGCCUUCCCCACACACCUGCCCUUCACUCUGCGGAGCCCAGCUUCCUACUGCAGUAAACUCUCAUAUGGCCAAGAAGUUUCUCAGAGCUCUCCCAGAGCCAGCAUAGGGGCUGCUUACAAAAAGCCCUUGGAAGCCGCUUCAUUGUGGAAUCCACUCCUGCUCCUCGCUACUGUCUACAGGGCGAGCAGCCCUCCUUUCUUGUCCUGCCACUGUCUGGCUGCUCCUAACCCUCUACUAAUUAAAGCCACCAUUUGCUA
rnacentral:lncRNA from 1 species